rnacentral:rRNA from 1 species
UAGGGAAUCUUCCACAAUGGACGAAAGUCUGAUGGAGCAACGCCGCGUGAGUGAUGAAGGGUUUCGGCUCGUAAAACUCUGUUGUUGGAGAAGAACAGGUGAUAGAGUAACUGUUAUCAUCUUGACGGUAUCCAACCAGAAAGCCACGGCUAACUACGUGCCAGCAGCCGCGGUAAUACGUAGGUGGCAAGCGUUGUCCGGAUUUAUUGGGCGUAAAGCGAGCG